rnacentral:rRNA from 1 species
UAAGCGGAGGAAAAGAAACCAACAGGGAUUGCCUCAGUAACGGCGAGUGAAGCGGCAACAGCUCAAAUUUGAAAUCUGACUCCUUGAGGGUCCGAGUUGUAAUUUGUAGAGGAUGUUUCGGGUUCCCGCUCCGGUUUAAAUUUCUUGGAACAGAAUGUCAAAGAGGGUGAGAAUCCCGUCUUGGACUGGCGGUCGGGGCCCAUGUGAAACUCCUUCGACGAGUCGAGUUGUUUGGGAAUGCAGCUCAAAAUGGGUGGUAAAUUUCAUCUAAAGCUAAAUAUUGGCCAGAGACCGAUAGCGCACAAGUAGAGUGAUCGAAAGAUGAAAAGCACUUUGAAAAGAGAGUCAAAAAGUAUGUGAAAUUGUUGAAAGGGAAGCGCUGGCAACCAGACUUGCGCGCGACGGUUCCCCCUUCCUUCUGGUUGGGUUACUCCGUCGUGUCCAGGCCAACAUCGGUUCUGGGGGUCGGUUAAAGGCCGUGGGAAUGUAUUUACUCUUUCGAGGCGUAGACUUAUAGCCCACGGUGUCAUGCGGCCUCCCGGGACCGAGGAACGCGCUUCGGCUCGGAUGU